AUCCUGUGUCUCACCUCCCAUGUCCCAUGUCCCCCUAGUUGGUCAAGCGACAUGCUGUNAAGCGACAUGCUGUAUCCCAAAUUGUCCCAUCCUGUGUCUCACCUCCCAUGUCCCAUGUCCCCCUAGUUGGUCAAGCGACAUGCUGUAUCCCAAACUGUCCCAUCCCACCUCCCACUCCCCACGUCCCAUGUCCUCCCAGUUGGCCAAGGGACAUGCUGUAUCCCAAACUGUCCCAUCCCACCUCCCACUUUCCAUGUCCCAUGUCCCCCCAGUUGGCCAAGGGACAUGCUGUAUCCCAAACUGUCCCGUCCCACCUCCCACUUCCCAUGUCCUCCGCCCUCCCAGCUGGGCGAGGGACAUGCUGUAUUCCAAACUGUCCCAUCCUAUGUCUCACCUCCCAUGUCCCAUGUCCCCCCAGUUGGCCAAGGGACACGCUGUAUCCCAAACUGUCCUAUCGCACCUCCCACUUCCCACGUCCCCCGCCCUCCCAGCUGGCCAAGGGACACGCUGUAUCCCAAACUGUUGCGUCCCACGUCCCCCAGCCGGCCAAGGGACAGGCCGUGUCCGGCAGUGUCCCGUCCCCCGGCAUGCCAACCGGCCACCUCCCUUCCUCCAUAAAGGCCCCAUUGUUCUCCCCCGCCGGAGCCUGAAGAGCGCCGCCUGCUCCACCUUCCCCCCGCUAAUCCUCUCCGGUUGCUAUCCUUCUUCCUCCUUCGUUUGUCGCCGUGUUGAAGGUACACAAACCGCAGCCACCCCUCCCCAUCCCCUGCCACCAGGAAGCGGGAGGGGGAAAAAAUCACAGCGAUGCUUUCACGGUGGAAACCUCCGCCGUGGAGCCCGUCUGCCCCCGGGACCUGGCCUGGGCUGCGCGGCUGGGGGGCGAGAUCAGGCCUUCCGCCGGUCCUCCUUCCCUCCCUGCUCCCCGAGGAUGCUCCUGGCGUGGGCAGCCCCCCUUGCUUACGCUCAUUUUCUCUGCAGCAUAAAGUGCCAUCGGGGGUUGCUCCGGAGGGGGCUUCUGUGAGCACUGAGCGCAAGCGUGCUUAAACGCAGAGCAUUAACACGCUGCCACGCAGCCAUCGUUAUCUGGAUUCCCCCCUUCCGGCUGCUCAGAGCAAUCCGGGGAAGAGCUGACCUCAUCUGGACACUGAGCAACCCUAGAGGCCCCGUCCGCAGGCUCAGGCAGGCAGAGCUGCAGCAGCCUGCCCUGGCCUUUGGCUUCCUCUCCCGUAGAGCAGGGCUACGGAUCCCGCUCCAGAAGGGAUCUCUCCUGAGAUCAGGAGAUGACAGUGCUGCACCCGGACUGUGCGUCCCUCGCAGGAGCAGCGAUGCAAAAGUCUCCGUCUACUUCCACUGGGCUUUGUUUCUCUCCCUGGCGCAAGCCACUGAUCAACAGCUGAGCUCCUGCCCAGGAGCGAAGAUGGCAAAGACGACGAAGGACACCAAAAACUCCCCCUGGACAGGGUGCCUGGCUGGCCCUAGGUGGUGGCAUGUCUGAUGCACCGAUUUCUGUAGCUGAGAGCACACAAGGGAGCAGCGGAGCUAACGUUACACCCAGCCCGGCUCGUGGGAGCAGAGGCCCAUUUGCGAAUGGGAAAACACGUUCAAUAAAAGCCUGAAGCUAACGCGCUCA
ensembl:lncRNA